UCAGUUCGGAUCGGAGUCUGCAACCCGACUCCGUGAAGCUGGAUUCGCUAGUAAUCGCGCAUCAGCCAUGGCGCGGUGAAUACGUUCCCGGGCCUUGUACACACCGCCCGUCAAGCCAUGGAAGCCGGGGGUGCCUGAAGUGCACUGCCGCAAGGAGCGCCCUAGGGUAAAACCGGUGACUGGGGCUAAGUCGUAACAAGGUACC
rnacentral:rRNA from 1 species